rnacentral:lncRNA from 1 species
GUACAAAUCUUAAACCAUUACUGAAAAAGAGCCUGAAAAAUCUAGCGUUACUUGCAUUGAUGAUACGAAAUCUAUACUUACGACGUCGUACAGUUAAACGUGGCCAAGCUUUACCGUUUACAAUGAUUGCGUCACCAAAAUAUUCCGGUUGCCACUGUGGAUGAAUCGUAGGGUUGUUACCAGUUGAGUUCAUGAAAAUCGAACCGUCCGUUUUAAAGCUACGAUCGAAUAACAUCAACGGUAAAUCGAAUUCGUUACCGUGUGGUAAUUUUAGGUGUUGAUUAUUUGGAUAGUGAUAUGACUUUUUUGUCCAAGUGGGUCCCUUGAUUUUGAAUCCAGCGGUGAAAAAUGAGUUUGGGUUACCAUCGCUUUCGGGUUCAUGAAUUCCACCGUGGAGAUGAACUACAGUGGGAAUACCAUUGGUUGUUUUGGUCAAUGAAGUGGGGAUAGUUGGGUCCCAUGGGAGUAUGUGAUUUGGAGGGAGGUGAUUUUGCCACGUCACGUCUGUGGAGAUUCCGUUGAGGGCUUCGAUUGUUGGACCAGGAAUUGUUGCUUUGUGUUUGUUUAAUCCGUAAGCGUAAACGGUUGUUGGUGGAAGAUCUCUCAACAUACCCAUUUCUUCUUGAACAUGCCAAUCUUGAGAGACUUUGAUUUGGGAACGCCAUCUACAACCUUGUAGCCAUAGACUUUGGGCAUAUUGGGAAGGUCAUCAACAAACAUCUUCAGCUUGGAUGCAUUUAUGAGUUUGACUGUAGCUGCUGCUGAUGAUGAUGAUAAGGAAACAAAACAUAGUAAAUGAGCUAAAAUUGUGAGUAGCUUCAAGAGCACUGUUUUCUCCAUCGCUACCUU